CCGGGGGUAGAGCACUGUUUCGGCUAGGGGGCCAUCCCGGCUUACCAACCCGAUGCAAACUGCGAAUACCGGAGAAUGUUAUCACGGGAGACACACGGCGGGUGCUAACGUCCGUCGUGAAGAGGGAAACAACCCAGACCGCCAGCUAAGGUCCCAAAGUCAUGGUUAAGUGGGAAACGAUGUGGGAAGGCCCAGACAGCCAGGAUGUUGGCUUAGAAGCAGCCAUCAUUUAAAGAAAGCGUAAUAGCUCACUGGUCGAGUCGGCCUGCGCGGAAGAUGUAACGGGGCUAAACCAUGCACCGAAGCUGCGGCAGCGACACUCAGGUGUUGUUGGGUAGGGGAGCGUUCUGUAAGCCUGCGAAGGUGGCCUGUGAGGGUUGCUGGAGGUAUCAGAAGUGCGAAUGCUGACAUAAGUAACGAUAAAGCGGGUGAAAAGCCCGCUCGCCGGAAGACCAAGGGUUCCUGUCCAACGUUAAUCGGGGCAGGGUGAGUCGACCCCUAAGGCGAGGCCGAAAGGCGUAGUCGAUGGGAAACGGGUUAAUAUUCCCGUACUUGGUGUUACUGCGAAGGGGGGACGGAGAAGGCUAUGUUGGCCGGGCGACGGUUGUCCCGGUUUAAGCGUGUAGGUGUGUGUUCCAGGUAAAUCCGGUU
rnacentral:rRNA from 1 species